rnacentral:rRNA from 1 species
GAUGAACGCUGGCGGCGUGCCUAAUACAUGCAAGUCGAGCGAACAGACGAGAAGCUUGCUCCUCUGACGUUAGCGGCGGACGGGUGAGUAACACGUGGAUAACCUACCUAUAAGACUGGGAUAACUUCGGGAAACCGGAGCUAAUACCGGAUAAUAUAUUGAACCGCAUGGUUCAAUAGUGAAAGACGGUCUUGCUGUCACUUAUAGAUGGAUCCGCGCCGCAUUAGCUAGUUGGUAAGGUAACGGCUUACCAAGGCGACGAUGCGUAGCCGACCUGAGAGGGUGAUCGGCCACACUGGAACUGAGACACGGUCCAGACUCCUACGGGAGGCAGCAGUAGGGAAUCUUCCGCAAUGGGCGAAAGCCUGACGGAGCAACGCCGCGUGAGUGAUGAAGGUCUUCGGAUCGUAAAACUCUGUUAUUAGGGAAGAACAAAUGUGUAAGUAACUAUGCACGUCUUGACGGUACCUAAUCAGAAAGCCACGGCUAACUACGUG